GCGCACGAGCGCGUGGCACCUCCCGAUGACUACAUCAGAAAACCUUCCAGUUCCUCCAGCAGCGGCUCCUCUUUCCCUCCUCAGGCGCAGCAGCGAGGUGUGAAAACCACCAAGAGAAUCCCCAGACCUUCUCCAGGCGGGAAAAUAAACUUGAGUGCAGCAGCGGCAGCACGAGCAGCCCGGGAGGGAUUGCAACGACUGGCGAGGAGUGGGAAGGGGUAAAAGUCAGUUUUGCAAAAGAGAGAAAGGGGAGGAAAAAGAGAGAGAGAGAAAAUGCUUUAUGGGAAAAAAAAAAAAAAAAUCUCCUCGGGCACGCCCCCUCGUUAAUGACCUGCGUGUAAAGCCGACAGCCGCCGCCGCCGCCGCCGCCGCCGCCGCCGCGCGGGAGCUCGGGGCCGCGCGCGUGGACGUGGACGGGUGCGCGGGGCCGCGGCGCGGAGCCCGGCCCGACAGGGAGGCGCCUGCAGCCUGCGCCGUCGCCGCCCGGGUCAUGUGGGCUGAUUUUUUUUCUUCGCCCGCCCUCCACCCCACCCCUUGCAGUUUACUUGGGAAGGGGUGGGGAGCGGCUGGAGCAGCCAGUCUGGCCCCGGCCUGCUGUUUGCUUACCGAUCGGGGUUUUGGUUUUUUCCCUCUAUCCAACCCGAUUGGUCUGCUCCACGAGAAAAGAGGCGUUUUCUAAUCUCCUCCCUUCCCCACGCCUCCUAACCCCCACUCCCUCCCCAUCCCGGGCCCCACCUUCUAGAAACCUGACUAAUUGAAUUACUGGGAGUGCUCGGGCGCCCUCUCCUUCGCGCGAACCCAGCUGUGCUGCGCGUAACCCUUUGGAUGCUGACAUUUUUUUUUUUUUCCCGUCUGGGCUGCGGGAUGGUCUCUUUACCUGAGACGAGGGGGUUCUUCAGUGACAAAGGAACGGGUUAUCCCACCCUGCCGCCGGAAAGCCGAAAUCCGUCUCCGGAGCCCCUCGAGUAAUAAUAGCAAAGUCUCAGCAGCCGGCGGGCAGGGGGACCACAGUGACCACGUGUUCUCGUAAAUCUCCGCCCGGGUCUUCACGACGCGCGCUGCCCGGCUUAUCUGACGACCCGAGCAUCUCUCAGGUGCCUUUGAAUUCCCCUCUUCCUACCAGGGAUUUCAAGGUUCGAGGGCAGCAAGGGCGAGUUUUCUUUAAAGUGAUGCUUUGAAAACACUUUUUUUUUUUAAGUCGAGAAAAUCAGUGUAUUAAGUCGAGAAAAUCAGUUUACAGUGAUUACAAUUCAGUGCGAACCCUCAGCGGGGAGGACAUUGAAUGAGGCAGGGACCACCCCCCCCCCCACACACACACACCCGAAACACCUUUUCUAGUUCAGGUCCGAGGUCGGUUCAGUGCGCACUGCCCAGAGGAGAAAGGGUCUGCACGAAUCCGGUGCAGAAAAAGAAAUGGGAGCGGGGGGGCCGCGGGGGUUGCAGGGAGGGAGUUCUCUUAUGAUCGGAACCCGUCUUGUGUCCCCGGGCUCCCAGAGUAAGGCUGCAGCGCCUCGGGCCCCGCACCGCCCCCCAACCCGGCCGCCAGCUAUGCGCGGCCGCCCCAGAGCCGGGCAGCGUCGGGGAGGCGCGCGGGGCGCGCGGCGCUGCGGCGCCUGGAGACUCGGCCUCGCGGGGCCGGGGGGCCGCUGGGGUCCCGUCUGCCUGACGCUCCAGGGGAUUCGCUGCCUUAGUGGGAAGGCCUGAUCCCAGGAAAGCAGCCAGGUUCGGCUUCCGAGCCUGCAGGCUCUCCCCUGUACUUAUGAGCACAAGGAAAGGAAAGAUCGUGUCUUUCCUCCGGCGCGCUCCGGUCCCUGCGCCUUGGAUUUGCAGGCGCUUCCUAGCUCUUUGGAAGCGUCCACGCGCCCUCCAGUGGCGGGCCUGCGGUCUGCACCCAGUGGGGCUACUGCCCGCGGCCCGGCCUGGAUGAGGGGGACCGAGGCUCCAGGGCCACCAAGCAUGCAGGUUGGAGAGGGAAGGAACAGUCCCCCCUCGACGUGGGGUUACCUGGGUGUCCCCGGCUCUCCCCUAAACGCUGAGUCGUUUCUCAGUUACAGGAUUAUUUCCCAUCUGGAGAGACCCUGAAAUUGUCCUGGAAAAGUAACUCGUCCCCUUGUGACUAGACACACGAAAUGCAACCUGUAAUUGUAGACUGCGCUGCAGAUCACCCUAACAAACCAAGUGCCUUGCCACAUUAAGAAAUGUGUAUCCAAAACCAUCAACAGAAAUUCUUCUCGACCAUCUGUAUGUUUCACAGAAUUCCAGCAGUGAGAAGUCAGAAAACUUAAGCUAGGGAACUGAAGGAUAAGCCUUAAUUUUUUUAGUCAAAUUGUCAUUUAAAACGUUUUCUCCCCCCCGCCCCCCCACCCCCGCUGCACUACCCACCCCCCACCCCACCUCCACCCUCCACCCUCCACCCUCCACCCUCCAGUUCUGCUGAUGUUCAAGUUCUUGGCCUAUUUUACGAUGAGCUUCUUUUUUUUCUGUUGCAAGAAGGUUGCAUUUUAC
ensembl:lncRNA